GAGCAAUAGGGAGUCAGAUCUUUCCCACACAAACUGGGUGCUCACCAGAGUAGGUGCACCCAGAGCUCUGUCCAGGCUGCAUCAUAUGCAUAGAGACCCCUCCCCACAGCUUGUCAACCUGAUCACAGUGCACUGUGUCUCACACUGAACAUAGCAAGUGUGGAAGUAUGUAAGAGCUGUGGUUGGCUAAUCGGCAUGGUGUUAGGCUCUGCAGACAUUCAAACAUCAGUUUUAAAGCUUACUGUUUUGGAGCCAGUCAAUUUAUUUCCUUCUCAGUCAUUUCUGUAGGUUCCUAAAGAGUUGGAGUGCCCUGGAUGCUGUGCCUUGAGGUGAGUGAACAAAGGGCCUUGGGGGCUUGAGAAGCCAGAGGGGUGCUGCCCCGUGAGGCUGGCAGGUGCCGGGCGCUCCGGGCAGCUCCUCCUGGCUUCACAAUGGGGCCCAGGCGGUGGGCAGUCAGGCUGGUGGGCAUGAGAGAAGGAGUCCCAGAACCAAAUGCUGCUCUCAGGGUAGAGGUCCAGCUUCUCACAUUGAUGAAAUCAUCUCUUUCACCACCUUUAUCUUCUUCCCACAAUCUCUCCUCUCUGCUUUAAGCUCUGUUCUAAAGCAGAGCCCCUGAGGAGAAAUGGACCCGGCACAGGUUAUCUUCAAAGGGCAGCUACUGUGGGUCAUGGGUCAUAAGUGAGCCAGUGGAUGGGCCACCCUCAGGGCAGAUGUGUCCCAAAGUUACGACCCUGUUGACUUUACUGUAACCAUGUUGUCCUGGUCUGACCAAUGCAUUUGGCAGAAGCCACCAGGGCUCAGAGCACUCAGUGGGAAAGGGACCUGGAAAUCUGGCAGCUCUUGGUCAUUUACUCUCAUCUGCACCACAAACUGGGGCCUUGGAACAGGGCUCUGAUGCUGUCAGCACAGCGAGCAGUGACUAAUUAAGACACAACCACAUUAGUCACGUUGGAGGUGACAACUGAGCAGCAUGUUUCGGGUUCCUGUCUGAGAGAUCCUGACACACUUUUCAAUUAUGUGGAACUAAUAGUGUGCGGCUUCCACGCAGCCAUGUCGGCAGGAGAGAAGGGGGUCUGAAAUGAAAGCAUGACUCACUGUGGCUCCUCACUCACUUCUUGGCACUUCCUAUUGAAAAUUACAAAAGGUGACACCAGGGGAACCAGCAUCAGGGUGUCUUUCAGAAGGGUGUUAUAAGAUGACUCUGAGUGACACAGGAGCUCGGUCCUUUCAAUAGGUGCACCUUGCGAACCCCAGCGUUGGCUAGUUCCAGCCUCCCUGUUCUCAAGGCGCACUCUCGUCUGGCCGCCAUCAGAGCCUGGCACAGCCAAGCAGGGAGAAGCACGAAGACCCAGGAGAACCCAAACACUGUAGCCAUGAGGAAAACAGGAAUGUUUCCUCCACACAUAAUCCCAACCAAAUUAGGGAAUGUUGCUGAAAUAGCUUUCCUUUUUGUUUCCCCUAGGGCCUCAACACAACAAUUUUAUGAACAAACCAGACUAGUACAGUGCAUUUUUAUGUUCCUGAGCUAGAGCCGAAGAUUCCUUUCUUUCUCUCGUGGCUUGUGAGAUCCCUAAGUUGUGUCUCUUCCAUGACGAGAAAAUGCUCUUGCAGGUGUGCAGAUGUCAGGCUGUCGGGGUCAAUAGAAAGGACAGAGCUACUUGCAUUUUUUUUUUUUUUUCUCUUUCGUAACUGGAGAGUGACAUCAUGCAGGGCUGAUGGCAUGAUGCCCAAGCACACUGGCUGCCUGUCCUCGUCUCCUCUUAGCUCUCCUGCAGCAAACCUGCCACCACGGGGCCAAGCCAUGCUCUGGUGGAGAAGGACCCCAGCCUUGUCCUUCCUGCGGCGUUCUUUCCAUCUGCACUACCACUGGGGAAAUCCUCUCGUGUCCACAUCUGCCUUCUGAGAUACACAAGCAGGGUUUGCCUUCUAAGCGGCCCAUGGUGUUGCAUACGUGCAUACACCCCAGCCUGGAUGCCCCUUUCUACCUCACUGGGUGAUCUUGAUCAAGUCUCCCUCACUCUACCAGGUGUGGCACACUGAGCGCAUGAAGGUGCCACCUACCUCUGGACUCCGUUCCUCUGUUAUCAAGGGGCCAAAUUUGAUUUGUGCUGUAAACACUGAGCCUAAGGACUCAAAGGAGCCAUCCAACUCCUACUGCAGUACCCUUCUUAUCUGUCUUGAAAAUUGGGGGCAGAGUUCCCAAUAUGGCUCAACAGUAAUGAACCUGCCUAGUAUCCAUGAGGAUGUGGGUUCAAUACCUGGCCUUCCUCAGUGGGUUAAGGAUCUGGCGUUGCCAAGAGCGGUGGUAUAGGUUGAAAACAUGGCUUGGAUCACACAUUGCUGUGGCUGUGGCAUAGGCUGGUAGCUGUAACUCCAAUUCAAACCCUAGCCUGGGAACUUCCAUAUGCCAUGGGUGUGGCCUUAAAAAGACAAAAGAAAGAAAAGAAAAUUGAGAGUUAGUUUAAGAGUUUGCUUAGAAGUUCCUGUCGUGGUACAGCAGAAAUGAAUCCGACUGGGAACCAUGAGGUUGCGGGUUCAAUCCCUGUCCUUGCUCAGUAGGUUAAGGAUCUGGCAUUGCUGUGAGCUAUGGUGUAGGUUGCAGACAUGGCUUGAAUCCUGAAUUGCUGUGGCUGUGGCCUAGGCUGGCAGCUGUAGCUCUGAUUGGACCCCUAGGCUGGGAACCUCCAUAUGCCACAGGUGCAACCCUAAAAAGCAAAAAAAAAAAAAAAAAAAAAA
rnacentral:lncRNA from 1 species